rnacentral:lncRNA from 1 species
CUGGCAACAGCUAGAGUCUCAUACAUACAAAACAGAAUUCAAAACAAAACCUCUCCUGAAGCUUGGUUAGUUUGCUCCAGGAAAACCAAAACCGGCCAGCAGCAUGUUUCUUCUGACAACUGGGAGAGGAGGAAGAAGGCCAUGUUGUUCGGAGGAUGACCCUGAUGGAGCAACAGGUUCCAGUGACUGUCCUUGGCCCAAGACAAUAAGUCCACCUCCUCCUUCAGCCUCGUAUAAACCUGCCUCCCACCUUCUGCCUCUUCCAUCAUGGAUAUAUAAUAAACUCUCUGAGUUUCUGGGCAGUUGCUGGUGUCUUUGUUAGAGUGCACAGUCCAUCCACGCCAGCUGUUCCAUGCCUGUGCCCGUGCGUCGGGCCCUCCUUUAUUCCAGCACACGUGUGGAGGUCAACCUUGAG